rnacentral:rRNA from 1 species
CCUACGGGCGGCAGCAGUGGGGAAUAUUGCGCAAUGGGCGAAAGCCUGACGCAGCGACGCCGCGUGAGGGAUGAAGGUCUUCGGAUCGUAAACCUCUGUCAGCAGGGAAGCACAGUCACUGUGCUAAUCAGCAGUGAAUUGACGGUACCUGCAAAGGAAGCACCGGCUAACUCCGUGCCAGCAGCCGCGGUAAUACGGAGGGUGCGAGCGUUAAUCGGAAUUACUGGGCGUAAAGCGCUCGUAGGAGGUAUGUCAAGUCAAGGGGGAAAUCCCCGCGCUCAACGUGGGAACUGCCUUUGAAACUGGGAAACUGGAGUGUGUGAGAGGAUAGUGGAAUUCCAGGUGUAGGAGUGAAAUCCGUAGAUAUCUGGAGGAACAUCAGUGGCGAAGGCGACUAUCUGGCACAUAACUGACGCUGAGGAGCGAAAGCGUGGGUAGCAAACAGGAUUAGAUACCCCUGUAGUC